UAUCUCUCCGUACGGGGAAGGAUGAGAAGCUUCGACUAAGGUUCGAUUCGAGCGCAGCGAGAAAGCGUUGCCGCAGGCAACGACCCGAAGGG
rnacentral:sRNA from 1 species